CAGCAGCCACGGUAAUACGAACCGUGCGAACGUUAUUCGGAAUCACUGGGCUUAAAGCGCGUGUAGGCGGGCCGCCGCGUCGGCUGCUGAAAUCCCCCGGCUCAACCGGGGAACGGGCACCGAUACGGGCGGCCUCGAGGGGGGUAGGGGGGCCUGGAACUUCCGGUGGAGCGGUGAAAUGCGUUGAGAUCGGAAGGAACGCCCGUGGCGAAAGCGAGGCCCUGGACCCUUUCUGACGCUGAGACGCGAAAGCCAGGGGAGCGAACGGGAUUAGAUACCCCCGUAGUCCCUGUCUCUUAUA
rnacentral:rRNA from 1 species